rnacentral:lncRNA from 1 species
AGGGAGAUGUAUUAAUAUUUCAUAUACAUUCAAUUUUAUUUUUAUUCAUUAUUGGCGUCUUGGAUGUUUGUAUUAUCUUAUUGUGGAGAAAUAUUCAAACCGUUGCCAAAAAAAUAUGUACUUUCUUUCAUUUUAUCUUUCCUAUGAAAUUUAAAAUUGCUUUUAUCCAUUAAUCUAUUACAUAACAAAGCUAAGCAGAGUAAUCUUACUUGAUAACUUCUGCUG